UAUAUAUAUANUAUAUAUAUAUAUAUAUAUAUAUAUAUAUAUAUAUAUAUACAUAUAUAUACGUAUAUAUAAUUAUAUAUGCGAUUAGUAAGAUUUUACGGUGUCGAUACGACGACGUUCCGUUUCUAACCUAAAAACGCAUCGUUUUGUACGAUUUAUGGCGAGUGUUGCUGAUCGAAAACAAACGAUUUCGAACGCGCGACCUGCACAACUUUUCCAUCGUGUUACUUAAAUAUUUUUACAAAAAGUCUUUCUCGUAUACUGUUUCGCGAUGAAUGUAACAUCGUGUCCCUAGGAUAUUCUUCUUUUCCUCUUCUUUUCGUUCUUUUUCUUUUUCUUUUUUUUUUUUUUCCUUGGUCGACUCAUUUAAAACUUCGUUCCGGCACCUAAUCGGUCGUCACACGGAUUGAUUUCUGCUUAUAUCGUUGUUAUCAUUAGUAUUAUCAAUACUAUUGUACUUUCUACUCUGUCUACCACCGGUAUACUCAUAGUUUAGUUUAACGCGUACACGUUGAUUUCGUAGCGGAUGUUUCUUUUAACCGACUCUUUUGAUCGACUCUGUAUUUGCUGUAUGUAACACAUUCCCAGACUAAUAUAUAUUUUAUCAUAAUCGAGGAUAAAAGGGAGAAAAAACGGUGUGCGAAAAAAGAGCGGCGGCGUGGGGGGGGGGGGGGGGGGGGGAGUCAAGAGGGAGAGAGCGUUUCAAGUAUUAGGUAGGAAGUUCUAACAUAGCGACGAGAAUUAAAUAAAUUAAUUGAAAUGUUGUGUACAUAGAUAUUGACUAUUAAUAUAAACUGCUUAUAGAUGUAACGUAUUUUUUGUAGGGACCAUAAUGUAUAAGCAAAGUAAUACGAGGACGUUUUCCCGUUUUUUCGUUCGUUCUCUGUUUUUUUUUUUUUUUUUUUUUCCCCCUUUCUUCGAACGAUUCUUGAACGGUGAUAUCGCGUGAGUGUGAGAGUCGAAAGUUUUUUUCUUUUAAAGCCCAAGGUUCGUGCAAAAUCGAAGCGCGAGUAGGAAGAAAAGCAAUAUAAUAAGCUUUGCGGUGUACGAGGAGAGGGAGAGAGAUACGAAGAGUUGACUUCUUCGUGAAUUAUGGACCUAGAGAUUAAAUGUAUGUAAUAAUUAUGGAAGCUCGUGGGAAGUUGAGAUUUAAAGACGUAUACACUGUUGAGAAAGAUCUCGAAACGCGUCGAGACAUUUUCUGUUUGUAACACUCGCGGAAGAGAUUUUAUCAAACGCUGUGAGCGGCAUUUGUAGUUGACGAAAUCUUUUCUGGGAGCGUAAUGGAAAGCGAGUAGAAAGAAUCUAAGCCGUGUGUUGUAACUCGUCUGACGUUGAUCGACAUGUUGAAGGAAUGUAGAAAAAUUCAACAGAUCGUUUUUCAUUUUCUCUGUGCGAUUCGACACGUCUCGUGCAAUAAAAUUCAUUUCCUUUCUUUUGUUUAGACAAUAAUUAAACAACACGUCAAAGUAAAACCUCUUACAAAAAAAAAUAUAUAUAUAUUUGGCUAUGGUUGAAAGAAGAAAGUUCGUUGCGCGAUGACCUUGAGCAGCCUCGAUCCACGUCGACCGAGUUAUAUUUCGAAACGAAGUACCAGAGAUUGUAAACUAUUGAUAAUUAAUAUUGUGAUUGAUGGGAAAGAUGGCCACACGAAUUUGUUCGAUAAAGCGCCCCAACGACUUUCAAAAAGCAUUUCAGUUCGAUUCCAGCUGUUUGAUACGUGCUAAUGCCAUGCCAUUUCAUACGCCACAGAGAACGUGAGUUAACCAUAGCGCACACCGACACCCACCUACCUAUGGGUAACACACUGUACCUAUUUCGUGUUACCUACUAUUAUUGGGAACCACUGCACUAGACGAAUUCUCCAUCACACCAGUGAAGGCUGCUUGAGUUCACAACCCGCGCGAUUUACAACCCGAUUGAAAUUUAUUGUUGACUCGAGUAUCGAUGCAUUUGGCCAUAUAAUAAGAGUAAAGGGCGAAGAGGGAGGGGGACAAAGUAGCAAAGUAAGAUUGCCCCGUUUCGAUUACGCUGAUCACAAUGGAAAGGAUAAUCUUUGACCGAUUUCCGUAAAUCUACGGAGCCGCGCGAAAGAUUAACAUUGCCUUAAAGAAACGAAAGAUUAAUUGAAUUUAAUAAGGGACGCUCUGACGAUGGUACAAGUGGCAAAGGUGAAAUCAACGGGUGAUGAAGGACGAUUGUAAAUUUGCGAAGACAGAGAGAUAAAUAGAAUAUAUGGAGAAUAAUGUUAGAUGUAAGGAACAAAUCUCAUAUUGUCAUAAAAAAAAAAAAUGAUUUAUCGUUUUCUUGGAUAUAUAUAUAUAUAUAUAUAAUUUUAAAUCCCCUAUGAGAUAGAGAAUGUGUCGUGCGCGCGCGCGGUCGAAGAAAGCGGUUUUUUUCUCAGCGUGAACCUUCUGUUUUUCAUAUCAAACACCGAAUUUCUUCCGUAGAUAUGGAAAUCGUGUUAGACAUCGGGUAAACUUUCGUUUUUACGUUUCGCCAGGAAGUGAAAAGACGAUGGCGAUAACAACGCGGAUUAUUAUCGCCCGGGACAAUGUCUUUUCCCUCCGGCCGUCGAAACAUAUAAAAGUUUCUUUUCCUUCUGUCAGAAGUAAGGCACAAACAAUGUAUUUACAAUGAAUAAAUGUUUUGAAAAACUGUUAAAAA